rnacentral:rRNA from 1 species
CAAAUGAAUUGACGGGGCCGCACAAGCGGUGGAGCAUGUGGUUUAAUUCGAUGCAACGCGAAGAACCUUACCUGGGCUUGACAUCCCGAGAAUCCCCUGGAAACAGGGAGUGCCUUCGGGGAGCUCGGAGACAGGUGCUGCAUGGCUGUCGUCAGCUCGUGUCGUGAGAUGUUGGGUUAAGUCCCGCAACGAGCGCAACCCUUGUCUUUAAUUGCCAUCAUUGAGUUGGGCACUUUAAAGAGACUGCCGGUGUUAAACCGGAGGAAGUGGGGAUGACGUCAAGUCCUCAUGGCCUUUAUGCCCAGGGCUACACACGUGCUACAAUGGGUGGUACAAAGAGAGGCAAGCUCGCGAGAGUAAGCAAAUCUCAAAAAGCCAUCCUCAGUUCGGAUUGGAGUCUGCAACUCGACCCCAUGAAGUCGGAAUCGCUAGUAAUCGCGGAUCAGCACGCCGCGGUGAAUACGUUCCCGGGCCUU